AGGGAAUCUUCCGCAAUGGACGAAAGUCUGACGGCAGCACUGCCGCGUGAGUGAUGAAGUUCUUCGGAUCGUAAACUCUGUUGUCAGGGACGAUCAAUGUAUGGGAGUAACUGCCCGUACCUUGACGGUACCUGGCCAGAAAGCCACGGCUUACUACGUGCCAGCAGCCGCGGUAAUACGUAGGUGGCAAGC
rnacentral:rRNA from 1 species